rnacentral:piRNA from 1 species
UCUGACUUAGUGGAUGGAAUACCCAGAGA